AGUGAACGCUGGCGGUAGGCCUAACACAUGCAAGUCGAACGGCAGCACAGUAAGAGCUUGCUCUUACGGGUGGCGAGUGGCGGACGGGUGCGGAAUACAUCGGAAUCUACUUUUUCGUGGGGGAUAACGUAGGGAAACUUACGCUAAUACCGCAUACGACCUACGGGUGAAAGCAGGGGAUCUUCGGACCUUGCGCGAUUGAAUGAGCCGAUGUCGGAUUAGCUCGUUGGCGGGGUAAAGGCACACCAAGGCGACGAUCCGUAGCUGGUCUGAGAGGAUGAUCAGCCACACUGGAACUGAGACACGGCCCAGACUCCUACGGUAGGCAGCAGUGGGGAAUAUUGGACAAUGGGCGCGAGCCUGAUCCAGCCAUACCGCGUGGGUGAAGAAGGACUUCGGGUUGUAAAGCCCUUUUGUUGGGAAAGAAAAGAAGCAGGUUAAUACCCCGCUGUUCUGACGGUACCCAAAGAAUAAGCACCGGCUAACUUCGUG
rnacentral:rRNA from 1 species